CAGCAGCCGCGGGAAUACGUAGGUCCCGAGCGUUGUCCGGAUUUAUUGGGCGUAAAGCGAGCGCAGGCGGUUAGAUAAGUCUGAAGUUAAAGGCUGUGGCUUAACCAUAGUACGCUUUGGAAACUGUUUAACUUGAGUGCAAGAGGGGAGAGUGGAAUUCCAUGUGUAGCGGUGAAAUGCGUAGAUAUAUGGAGGAACACCGGUGGCGAAAGCGGCUCUCUGGCUUGUAACUGACGCUGAGGCUCGAAAGCGUGGGGCGCAAACAGGAUUAGAUACCCCGGUAGUCCCUGUCUCUUAUACA
rnacentral:rRNA from 1 species